rnacentral:rRNA from 1 species
UACAGAGGUCCCGAGCGUUGUUCGGAUUCACUGGGCGUAAAGGGUGCGUAGGUGGCGAUGAAAGUUCGAUGUGAAAUCUCCGGGCUUAACCCGGAAAAGGCAUUGAAACUAUGUUGCUUGAGGUUUGGAGGGGGACUGGAAUUCUUGGUGUAGCAGUGAAAUGCGUAGAUAUCAAGAGGAACACCAGUGGCGAAGGCGGGUCCCUGGACAACACCUGACACUGAGGCACGAAAGCGUGGGGAGCAAACAGG